rnacentral:rRNA from 1 species
UGAGGAAUAUUGCGCAAUGGGGGCAACCCUGACGCAGCAACGCCGCGUGAGUGAGGAAGGUUUUCGGACCGUAAAGCUCUGUCGAGCGGGAAGAAAUGCAUGGUGGCUAAUAUCCAUUAUGCUUGACGGUACCGCUAGAGGAAGCACCGGCUAACUCCGUGCCAGCAGCCGCGGUAAUACGGGGGGUGCAAGCGUUGUUCGGAAUUAUUGGGCGUAAAGAGCGUGUAGGCGGCUGGAUAAGUCAGAUGUGAAAUCCCUGGGCUUAACCCAGGACGUGCAUUUGGAACUAGCCAGCUUGAGUAAGGGAGAGGAAAGUGGAAUUCCUGGUGUAGAGGUGAAAUUCGUAGAUAUCAGGAGGAACACCGGUGGCGAAGGCGACUUUCUGGCCCUAUACUGACGCUGAGACACGAGAGCGUGGGUAGCAAACA